UACGAAGGGGGCUAGCGUUGUUCGGAAUCACUGGGCGUAAAGGGCGCGUAGGCGGCCGAUCAAGUCGGGGGUGAAAGCCUGUGGCUCAACCACAGAAUUGCCUUCGAUACUGUUUGGCUUGAGACCGGAAGAGGUUAGUGGAACUGCGAGUGUAGAGGUGAAAUUCGUAGAUAUUCGCAAGAACACCAGUGGCGAAGGCGCUUACUGGUCCGGUUCUGACGCUGAGGCGCGAAAGCCAGGGGAGCAACGGG
rnacentral:rRNA from 1 species